GUUAAAAAGCUCGUAGUUGGAUUUCUGUCGGUGAGUUGCAGUCCGGCCUCUGUGUUAGGUACUUGUUACGCCACCGGCAUCUUCCUGGGGACUGUAUCUGCUCUUCACUGAGUGGUGCAUAAUCCAGGACUUUUACUUUGAGGAAAUAGGAGUGUUUCAAGCAGGCACGCGCCGUGAACACGUUAGCAUGGAAUAAUAGCAUCGGACCUCGCUCCAAAGCUGUUGGUUUCUUGGAACGAGGUAAAGGUGAAUAGGGAUUGUUGGGGGCAUUCGUAUUUAACUGUCAGAGGUGAAAUUCUUGGAUUUGUUGAAGACGGACUACUGCGAAAGCAUCUGCCAAAGAUGUUCUCAUUGAUCAAGAACGAAAGUUAGGUGAUCGAAGACGAUCAGAUACCGUCCUAGUCUUAACCAUAAACUAUGCCGACUGGAGAUCGGGGGUCGUUAACUUUGUGACGCCCUCUGCAUCUUGAGAGAAAUCAAAGUCUUUGGGUUCCGGGGGGAGUAUGGUCGCAAGGCUGAAACUUAAAGGAAUUGACGGAAGGGCACCACCAGGAGUGGAGCCUGCGGCUUAAUUUGACUCAACACGGGGAAACUUACCAGGUCCAGACAUAGUGAGGAUUGACAGACUGAUAGCUCUUUCGAGAUUCUAUGGGUGGUGGUGCAUGGCCGUUCUUAGUUGGUGGAGUGAUUUGUCUGGUUAAUUCCGUUAA
rnacentral:rRNA from 1 species